CUGCGUUGUUCUGCUUUGCUUUAAUCGCUGCAUUGUCAUCUUCUUUGCUGCUGGCAGCGAUCGACCGACCGACCGCUUACUUCUGCUCGCCUCGCCUCUUUUCUACUUGCAAUUGCAAACAUAGAGCUUGUUGUUCUCCUUCUGGUUAUGGCAGUCGUAGUUGCUGCUGCUGCUGCUGCUGUUGUUCUUGUUGCUGUUAUUGUUUGUGGGAACGAGCACACAGCACAGCACAAAGCUAUUUUCAAAUUGGAAAGGUUUUGCACUUCGCCAACGCAGUCAGCUCUCGGUAACUCUUUUUGUUCGCUUUGUUUGUGGCUUCGCUGCCGUCGUCGUCGCCAUCGCCGUUGCUUCUGCUGCUGUUACAGCCAACUUCUUUCUCGUUAGUUUGUUAUUUUAACUAUUAUAUCAAUUAGUUUCAACGUUUGACGGCUCCGCCAGCCUCAGCUCAUUGUGGCCGCGGCUGCUGCUAGAUUGCGGAUGGAAGGAGGAAAUGGAAAUGGGAAAACCAGACGAAGGUAGAGCAGCGGAAAAUACGAAGUUCGAGGUUGAAUUUUGCGCCGUUGCAAUUCACUGCGCUUGGCUUUCACGCUGGGGUUGAAACUCUCAAAGUGUGCGUGUCUAUGUGUCUAUUACUGUGUGUGUGUGUG